CGGUGAUUGGCGCAGCUCGGUAGCGCACUUCGUUCGGGACGGGGUCGGAGGUUCGAAUCCUCUAUCACCGACCA
rnacentral:tRNA from 1 species